rnacentral:sRNA from 1 species
UGUUGGAAACAUUCGAAACAACACAGCAAGUUAAAAUAAGGUUUAUCCGUAUCCAACUUGAAAAAGUGAGCACCGAUUCGGUGCUUUUAUU